AACAAAAUUAUUUGCCAGAGUACUACCAGCAACAGCUUAAAACUCAAAGGACUUGGCGGUGCUUUAUAUCCUUGUAGAGGAGCCUGUUCUGUAAUCGAUAAACCCCGAUAAACCUCACCAGUUCUUGCUAAUACAGUCUAUAUACCGCCAUCUUCAGCAAACCCUAAAAAGGAAGAAAAGUAAGCAUAAUCAUAAUACAUAAAAACGUUAGGUCAAGGUGUAACCUAUGAAAUGGGAAGAAAUGGGCUACAUUCUCUACACUAAGAGAACCAAACACGAAAGCUAUUAUGAAAUUAAUAACCAAAGGAGGAUUUAGCAGUAAACUA
rnacentral:rRNA from 1 species